rnacentral:rRNA from 1 species
UGGGGAAUAUUGGACAAUGGGCGCAAGCCUGAUCCAGCAAUGCCGCGUGAGUGAAGAAGGCCUUAGGGUUGUAAAGCUCUUUCGGCGGGGAAGAUGAUGACGGUACCCGCAGAAGAAGCCCCGGCUAACUCCGUGCCAGCAGCCGCGGUAAUACGGAGGGGGCUAGCGUUGUUCGGAAUUACUGGGCGUAAAGGGCGCGUAGGCGGUGCGGUAAGUUAGGCGUGAAAGGCCCGGGCUCAACCCGGGAACUGCGCUUGAGACUGCCGCGCUCUGAGUCCGAGAGAGGAUAGCGGAAUUCCCAGUGUAGAGGUGAAAUUCGUAGAUAUUGGGAAGAACACCAGUGGCGAAGGCGGCUAUCUGGCUCGGUACUGACGCUGAGGCGCGAAAGCGUGGGGAGCAAAC